CAACCCGUACCACCCACAAACCAAUGGCUUGGUUGAAAACGCUAAUAAAUCCAUAAAAAGGUAAGUGAAUGGGUGGGAAUAUUACAGUACUAAUGGCAAGUACAGUGUGCUAUGCAAGAAGAUGCAACUCACAAAAAAAUCUUCAAAAGCAAUGUGUUACAUGUAAAGUCUUUUUCAUUAUGUAUUACACCUUUUUGAUUAUGUAUGAUCUGUUUCAGUCAAGACCGUACGUGUGACUUUCUUUUUUUAAACAAACCAAUCAAUGAGCAUUUGUUACAGAGCAUUGCGGAAGAUGGUUGAUGACAAUUGAGUAAUUGGGAUGAAUUACUUGACCCCAUUUUGUUUUCUUUGCGAACUAAAGUACACGCAACAACACAAAUUUCACCCUUUCGACUAAUGUUUUGUGCUGACCCAGUGUUUUCAGAAGAAGUCUCAGAGAAUUACACGAUCCCAGAUAUGAAUACAUUCGGGAAAGAUUUCUGCAAAGAGUACAGCAUAAAUACGAAAUCAAAACGUGAUGCUGACAUUGCACUGGCCCUAAGUAACAUUUCUAAAGCACAAGAAAAACAACAAAGACAUUAUGCUAAAAGAAAGACUUCUAAAUAUCGGGAAAUAACAUUUGAUGUUGGGGACUCUGUUCUGUUACUGAACGCUAGAAAGAGAACAAGAAAAGGAGGAGUACUGGAACCUAGGUAUCGGGGACCAUACAAAAUUACGACUGUUGAGGGUAAGAGAGUGAAAUUACAAACCAUCUCAGGGAAACGGUUAGGAACCAUGUACAGUAUCGCACACUUAAAACCAUGUAAAGAGCCACCCACGUUAGUUGCUGAAAGCACAUCAGAGGGAAAAAUCGGAACUGAAAUUGCAGUUGGUGACACUGAACCAGAAACACCCUCAGAAGAUAUUAGAAAUGUGGAUGGCACUGUAUCUCACGACAGCACAGUGAAAACCAUAGAGGUCACAGCAACAGAAGAAGAGGAGUAUAUAGGGCAAGGUAUUUCAAACAAUGAUACAAGUGAUGCUGAUGAUAAUUUUGAUGACAUGUUUAUGGAGGAGGUGGAAGACAAGCAAUGGAUUCUGAAAGUCAAAUUUGUAAUGACCAGCAAACGCACAGAGAGACUGGAGGCCAAAGCGAGAAACAUAAAAUUGCAUGGCUCUUCAUUUCAUUGCUUGUAACUGAGAAGCUGGAUAAGUGAUGAGGUUAUUGAUGCAUAUUUAAGCUGUGUGGUCGAGAAAGCAGAUGGAAAGGUACAAGCCAUCUCAUCAGUAGUUUCCACUGUCAUUCUCUCAGGCAGAGUUCCACAAAUAAAAGUGAAGGUAAAUGCUAACACACUUUCAUACGUAGCAUGAGCAAAGCACAGUUUCAUUCAGUGAGUUAAACAGAGUGUGAAACAGUAAAUACAAUGCUAUGUUUGAUGUGGAGGAGUACUCUAAUAGUAAUACAUCUAAUGAAAUUGGGAAAUACAGUAUAAUGUACAUUUCAUGGUUUGCUUCACUGGAAACUAUAAUUGCUUUUCUAAUUUUUUUGUAAUGAAUACAGAGUGAUGAUGAUAUAUAAUAUAUUAUAUUAUAUUAUAUAUUAUGAUAUAUAUGAUAUAUUAUUGCUUCCUUAGCACACAACAUGGAGUUCUUGCGGUAAGAUGUUUUGUAUUGUACUUCUGGAUUAUGGGCAAUAAGUGUGGUAUUAAAUAAGAGAUUUGUAACACAACUAUGGUAGCACUGAUAUAAUUUCCCGUGUUGCGGAUUUUCAGUGAGUUCAGUGCAUGCAAAGGAAAGUGGAAUGUGAAUGUUAAAAAUAAAAUGCUACUAUCAAGUUUCGUUGUUAAUGUAACUUGGAAGAAUACAUUCUGUAUUGAAUUGAUUAAUGAUUUCACAAUAUGCUUUUUUCUUGUGAGUUACUGAGACAUUACAAACGAGAAUAUGUUAAUUGCAUAAUGAUUUUUGAUAAAUCAGUAUAAAAUUUUUGAAAUAAUCGCAUUACCAGUAUAAUUUGUGAAUAUAUUUACACUUACAGAUAGCCUUGAUGAAAAAAAAUGGCAUUGUUAAUAAUUGACCCCUUUUGUGAUGAGAUGAGAUAUGAAAGAACAUGCCUGAGGAAUUGGAGAAACUUCAUCAAACGAUUAACUAGAAAAUCCUCAUCUGAUUGGAAUAGUAAAAUUGUUCAGCAUCCCAGACAAAGUGAUGGCCACAACUGCGGACCACUCAUCUUAAAGAUAU